rnacentral:rRNA from 1 species
UGCUAGUAUGCGUAGAAUAAGGAUCGGCUAACUCCGUGCCAGCAGCCGCGGUAAUACGGAGGAUCCGAGCGUUAUCCGGAUUUAUUGGGUUUAAAGGGUGCGCAGGCGGUCUUUUAAGUCAGUGGUUAAAUCGUGAGGCUCAACCUCAUCACGCCAUUGAUACUGGAGGACUUGAUUGCGGUUGAGGUUGGCGGAAUUCGCCGUGUAGCGGUGAAAUGCAUAGAUAUGGCGAAGAACUCCGAUUGCGUAGGCAGCUGACCAAGCCGUAAAUGACGCUCAUGCACGAAAGUGCGGGGAUCGAACAGGAUUAGAUACCCUG